rnacentral:rRNA from 1 species
UACAGAGGGGGCAAGCGUUGUUCGGAAUUACUGGGCGUAAAGGGCGCGUAGGCGGCCGACUAAGUCAGACGUGAAAUCCCCAGGCUCAACCUGGGAACUGCGUCUGAUACUGGAUGGCUUGAGUUCGGGAGAGGGAAGUGGAAUUCCUGGUGUAGCGGUGAAAUGCGCAGAUAUCAGGAGGAACACCGGUGGCGAAGGCGGGUCUCUGGGCCGAUACUGACGCUGAGGAGCGAAAGCGUGGGGAGCGAACAGG